AAGAUGAGCUUCAGAGUCUGGAGCCCUGAUACCACAAGCUUUCCUGCUUUUGCAAGCACUGGAGUCUGACAUAUUUGCAAUGGAAUGGAAAAGGAACUGGGACCUUCUCUGCAGCCCUGCAAGGGGAAAGGCAGCUCCAGGACCAUGGCCCACGUGUGGAGUUUAUCUGGCCAUUGGCAUCUCCAGAUGCAUGCCUUUCUGACCAGCAGCAAAAGACUGAAGAGUGAAAGCACUUUAAUAUUGCAGAGCACCUACGUGGAGACAAGUGGAUCAGUUCUCCUGCCUGAGUGUCCUUCUCUGAGACUCCUGGGGAGAAGAGUCCAUCCCAUAGAUGCUCCUGGUGGGACCAUUUGUUUCCCAUAGGGACAUAGCCCAUCAAAUCAGCACUGCCAGCUUGCUGCAGAAAGGGGGGCCAGGAGCCUGGAGCAAACUAGUCCUGCAGCAGCCCUGAAAGAAGAGCAAGCCAUCUAAAAAGAAAAGAGAUCAUUAAAUUUCCUUUCCACGUGGUGAACGAAGAAGCUUUUACCUGUGGAAGAAAGGAAAAGUGUUCUUUUUGUUAGCUUCAUCCAGAGAGAAGGAAAAUCUUUGAGGUAUUUUCUGGCACGUGGCUCCUGUUAGGUUUCAGCCAGCUGAGCUGCUCUCAAAAGCACUGGAAUGUAAUUUCAGCAAUAAUCGAUCAGCAGAAAUGGAGGCAGUGAGGGUGUUCUGUUGCACAGAAGUCCUGGGUGAAAACCCAUACGCUGUGGCUAAGAACACAAAUUUAACAAACAUGAAUCUGGAGAGCUGAAUUCCUGGAACCUCCCUCUGCCCUGAACGAUGGAAAAUUGAAGCCAUUUCUGGAUGGGGGAUGGUGCUUUUCAACUCCAAUUUCAGUCAAUUGACUCAAAUUCAUUUGUGAACCUUCGGCACUGCUGCCGAAAAAAUUUAAUUUCCCGCCAUUUUUUUAAUUUAUUGCUCAGAAUGUGUAAGUACUAAAUUAGACAGAGCUUUUGGCGUAAGCCAGUAUAAUCCUUUUACCACUGAAUCAUUCUGUUAUAUAGUGUUUUGACUGCUCUGUAUGUGUGUGAAAUUGCUGUCUAAAAUGUAUUGCUUAAAAUUGGUAUUUGCCUGUUUUGGACAAAUCUUUUAGAAAAUUCUAAAAGGAAAUCAUGCAGAAUAAAGUAACCUAGUCUUUAGUCUCUUGGGUGGGA
rnacentral:lncRNA from 1 species